GAUGAACGCUGGCGGCGUGCCUAAUACAUGCAAGUAGAACGCUGAAGGAGGAGCUUGCUCUUCUGGAUGAGUUGCGAACGGGUGAGUAACGCGUAGGUAACCUGCCUGGUAGCGGGGGAUAACUAUUGGAAACGAUAGCUAAUACCGCAUGACAACAGUUAUUGCAUGAUAACUGUUUAAAAGGGGCAACUGCUCCACUACCAGAUGGACCUGCGUUGUAUUAGCUAGUUGGUGAGGUAACGGCUCACCAAGGCGACGAUACAUAGCCGACCUGAGAGGGGGAUCGGCCACACUGGGACGGAGACACGGCCCAGACGCCUACGGGAGGCAGCAGGAGGGAAUCUUCGGCAAUGGACGGAAGUCUGACCGAGCAACGCCGCGUGAGUGAAGAAGGUUUUCGGAUCGUAAAGCUCUGUUGUAAGAGAAGAACGAGUGUGAGAGUGGAAAGUUCACACUGUGACGGUAUCUUACCAGAAAGGGACGGCUAACUACGUG
rnacentral:rRNA from 1 species